UUUAAAGAUGAAGAUCGCUUUGCUGGUUUUGGUGCUUCUGGCGUUCGGACACUCGCUGCCUAUGCAGCGGAGGAGAGUAACGAGAUCAGAGAGUUCAGAAGACAACGGGAGCGACUGCGAGGAAAACGGCAGUGAAGAGAAGAAAGCAGAGGAGGAAGAGGA